ACAAGCGUGGAUGAUGUGGAUUAAUUCGAUGCAACGCGAAAACCUUACCACCUUUGACAUGUACGGAAUCCUUUAGAGAUAGAGGAGUGCUCGAAAGAGAGCCGUAACACAGGUGCUGCAUGGCUGUCGUCAGCUCGUGUCGUGAGAUGUUGGGUUAAGUCCCGCAACGAGCGCAACCCUUGUCAUUAGUUGCUACGAAAGGGCACUCUAAUGAGACUGCCGGUGACAAACCGGAGGAAGGUGGGGAUGACGUCAAGUCCUCAUGGCCCUUAUGGGUAGGGCUUCACACGUCAUACAAUGGUCGGUACAGAGGGUUGCCAAGCCGCGAGGCGGAGCCAAUCCCACAAAGCCGAUCGUAGUCCGGAUUGUUCUCUGCAACUCGAGAGCAUGAAGUCGGAAUCGCUAGUAAUCGCAGGUCAGCAUACUGCGGUGAAUACGUUCCCGGGUCUU
rnacentral:rRNA from 1 species